rnacentral:tRNA from 1 species
UGGGUAGUCGCCAAGUGGUAAGGCACAGGACUUUGACUCCUGCAUGCAUAGGUUCGAAUCCUCUCUACCCAG